UACGAAGGGUGCAACCGUUGCUCGGAAUUAUUGGGCGUAAAGCGCACGUAGGCGGCAUUGCAAGUUGGAUGUGAAAUCCCUCGGCUUAACCAAGGAAGUGCAUCCGAAACUGCAGUGCUUGAGUACUUAAGAGGAUCGCGGAAUUCCCGGUGUAGAGGUGAAAUUCGUAGAUAUCGGGAGGAACACCAGUGGCGAAGGCGGCGAUCUGGGAAGAUACUGACGCUGAGGUGCGAAAGCGUGGGGAGCAAACAGG
rnacentral:rRNA from 1 species